rnacentral:rRNA from 1 species
CUAGAUUCCUACGGGAGGCAGCAGUGGGGAAUAUUGGACAAUGGGGGAAACCCUGAUCCAGCGACGCCGCGUGAGUGAAGAAGUAUUUCGGUAUGUAAAGCUCUAUCAGCAGGGAAGAAAAUGACGGUACCUGACUAAGAAGCCCCGGCUAACUACGUGCCAGCAGCCGCGGUAAUACAA